rnacentral:rRNA from 1 species
UACGUAGGGGGCGAGCGUUGUCCGGAUUUAUUGGGCGUAAAGAGCUCGUAGGCGGUUUGGCAAGUCGGGUGUGAAAACUCCGGGCUCAACUCGGAGACGCCACUCGAUACUGCUAUGACUCGAGUCCGGUAGGGGAGUGCGGAAUUUCCGGUGUAGAGGUGAAAUUCGUAGAUAUUCGGAAGAACACCAGUGGCGAAGGCGACUUACUGGACACAUAUUGACGCUGAGGUGCGAAAGCGUGGGGAGCAAACAGG